rnacentral:rRNA from 1 species
GAUGAACGCUGGCGGCGUGCCUAAUACAUGCAAGUAGAACGCUGAAGGAGGAGCUUGCUCUUCUGGAUGAGUUGCGAACGGGUGAGUAACGCGUAGGUAACCUGCCUGGUAGCGGGGGAUAACUAUUGGAAACGAUAGCUAAUACCGCAUGACAACAGUUAUUGCAUGAUAACUGUUUAAAAGGGGCAACUGCUCCACUACCAGAUGGACCUGCGUUGUAUUAGCUAGUUGGUGAGGUAACGGCUCACCAAGGCGACGAUACAUAGCCGACCUGAGAGGGGGUUCGGCCACACUGGGACUGAGACACGGCCCAGACUCCUACGGGAGGCAGCAGUAGGGAAUCUUCGGCAAUGGACGGAAGUCUGACCGAGCAACGCCGCGUGAGUGAAGAAGGUUUUCGGAUCGUAAAGCUCUGUUGUAAGAGAAGAACGAGUGUGAGAGUGGAAAGUUCACACUGUGACGGUAUCUUACCAGAAAGGGACGGCUAACUACGUG